rnacentral:rRNA from 1 species
UGGGGAAUAUUGGACAAUGGGGGCAACCCUGAUCCAGCAAUGCCGCGUGUGUGAAGAAGGCCUGCGGGUUGUAAAGCACUUUUGGCAGGGAUGAAAAGCACUGGAUUAAUAACCCAGUGUGUUGACCUAACCUGCAGAAGAAGCACCGGCUAACUCUGUGCCAGCAGCCGCGGUAAUACAGAGGGUGCAAGCGUUAAUCGGAAUUACUGGGCGUAAAGCGCGCGUAGGUGGUUAGUUAAGUUGGAUGUGAAAUCCCCGGGCUCAACCUGGGAACUGCAUUCAAAACUGACUGACUAGAGUAUGGUAGAGGGUGGUGGAAUUUCCUGUGUAGCGGUGAAAUGCGUAGAUAUAGGAAGGAACACCAGUGGCGAAGGCGACCACCUGGACUGAUACUGACACUGAGGUGCGAAAGUGUGGGGAUCAAACAGGAUUAGAUACCCCAGUAGUCCCUGAGCGGGCUGGCAAGGCGCAU